ACGACCAUACCAUGCUGAAUAUACCAGUUCUCGUUAGAUCACCUAAGUCAAGCAUCAUUGGGCGCGGUCAGUACUUGGGUGGGUGAUGGGAUGACCGCGUGCCGUU